rnacentral:rRNA from 1 species
UGGGGAAUUUUGGACAAUGGGCGCAAGCCUGAUCCAGCAAUGCCGCGUGAGUGAAGAAGGCCUUCGGGUUGUAAAGCUCUUUUGUCAGGGAAGAAACGGGAGUGGCUAAUAUCCAUUCUUAAUGACGGUACCUGAAGAAUAAGCACCGGCUAACUACGUGCCAGCAGCCGCGGUAAUACGUAGGGUGCAAGCGUUAAUCGGAAUUACUGGGCGUAAAGCGUGCGCAGGCGGUUUUGUAAGUCUGACGUGAAAUCCCCUGGCUCAACCUGGGAAUUGCGUUGGAGACUGCAAGGCUAGAAUCUGGCAGAGGGGGGUAGAGUUCCACGUGUAGCAGUGAAAUGCGUAGAGAUGUGGAGGAACACCGAUGGCGAAGGCAGCCCCCUGGGUCAAGAUUGACGCUCAUGCACGAAAGCGUGGGGAGCAAACAGGAUUAGAUACCCUGGUAGUCCACGCCCUAAACGAUGUCUACUAGUUGUCGGGUUUUAAUUAACUUGGUAACGCAGCUAACGCGUGAAGUAGACCGCCUGGGGAGUACGGUCGCAAGAUUAA